rnacentral:rRNA from 1 species
GGANUUGCGNAUGGGGGAACCCUGACGCAGCAACGCCGCGUGGGUGAUGAAGGCCUUCGGGUCGUAAAGCCCUGUCAGGUGGAAAGAAACCUGUGGAUAUUAAUAACAUCCACAAUUGACGGUACCACCGGAGGAAGCACCGGCUAACUCCGUGCCAGCAGCCGCGGUAAUACGGAGGGUGCAAGCGUUGUUCGGAAUUAUUGGGCGUAAAGCGCGUGUAGGUGGUCGGGCAAGUCAGAUGUGAAAGCCUUCUGCUUAACAGAAGAAGUGCAUUUGAAACUGCUCGGCUAGAGUACGGGAGAGGAGAGUGGAAUUCCCGGUGUAGAGGUGAAAUUCGUAGAUAUCGGGAGGAACACCAGUGGCGAAGGCGGCUCUCUGGUCCGAUACUGACGCUGAGACGCGAAAGCGUGGGGAGCAAACAGGAUUAGAUACCCUGGUAGUCCACGCUGUAAACGAUGGGCACUAGGUGUAGGAGGUAUUGACCCCUUCUGUGCCGAAGCUAACGCAUUAAGUGCCCCGCCUGGGGAGUACGGCCGCAAGGCUAAAACUCAAAGAAAUUGACGGA